GGCUGUUGUUGAACGCAGGUGUUGUGCGCGCUUUGGAGGCGGUCAAUGCGUGCAGAGCUCAUGCUGGCGGUGGGCAUGAAGGAGACGUGCGGAACUUAUUUGGAGAACCAGCUGGAAAGGAACUACGGAAUUACUACUCCCAUUAGUUUGGCAGCACCAAGGGAAAUAGAUUAUAUCUAUUCACAGAAACUGAUUGAAGCCCUGAAGCCUUUUGGUGUAUUUGAGGAGGAAGAAGAGCUGGACUGCAGGUUAGCUGUUCUUGACAAACUAAAUAACUUGGUUAAAGACUGGAUUGCAGAAGUUACUGAAAAUAAGAACUUGCCUUCUUCAAUCUCAUCCAGAGCUGGUGGCAAAAUAUUCACAUUUGGUUCCUAUCGGCUUGGAGUCCACACCAAAGGUGCUGAUAUAGACGCGCUCUGUGUUGCCCCUAGACACAUAGAAAGAUCAGACUUCUUCCAGUCAUUUUUUGAAAAGUUAAAGCUUCAAGAUGGCAUCAGAAAUCUGAGAGCAGUAGAAGAUGCAUAUGUACCAGUAAUCAAGUUUGAAUUUGAUGGUAUUGAGAUUGAUCUCGUCUUUGCAAGACUACCCCUGCCAAGCAUUUCAGAUAGCCUGGACCUUAGGGAUGAUGCACAUUUGAGAAGCCUUGAUAUCAGAUGCAUUCGGAGUUUAAAUGGUUGCAGAGUCACUGAUGAAAUACUUCAUUUGGUACCAAACAAGGAGAACUUCAGGCUGACACUCAGAGCAAUUAAACUGUGGGCUAAGCGGCGUGGAAUUUAUUCCAAUAUGCUGGGAUUCCUUGGUGGUGUUUCUUGGGCCAUGCUAGUGGCAAGGACCUGUCAGCUGUACCCAAAUGCUUUGGCAUCAACCCUUGUUCACAGAUUCUUCUUAAUUUUUUCAAAGUGGGAAUGGCCCAAUCCUGUCUUGCUGAAACAACCUGAAGAGAGCAAUCUCAACUUGCCUGUCUGGGACCCCAGGGUAAAUCCAGCUGACCGGUAUCAUCUAAUGCCCAUUAUCACUCCAGCCUAUCCACAGCAGAACUCCACUUAUAAUGUGUCCACAUCAACCCGAGCAAUCAUGGUGGAAGAAUUCAAAUACGGUCUCAUAGUUACAGAUGAAAUCCUUCAAGGAAAGUCAGAUUGGCCAAAGCUGCUUGAGCGACCCAACUUUUUUCAAAAGUAUAAGCACUAUAUUGUAUUGACUGCUGUUUCUUCAACUGAAGAACAUCAUUUGGAAUGGGUUGGCUUGGUGGAGUCUAAAAUCCGUGUGCUUGUUGGACACUUGGAGAGAAAUGAAUUUAUUACUCUCGUCCAUGUAAAUCCACAGUCCUUCAGUGGGAACAGGGAUCAGUACAAAGAAAGUGAUUAUGUAUCAAUGUGGUUUCUGGGAAUAAUUUUUAAGAAACUGGAGAACACAGAGAGUGUAAGCAUUGACUUAACCUAUGAUAUCCAGUCAUUCACAGAUACAGUUUAUAGGCAGGCAAACAAUAUCAACAUGUUGAAAGAAGGCAUGAAGAUUGAAGCUACUCAUGUGAGGAAGAAACAACUCCAUUUUUAUUUGCCAGCAGACUUCUUGCAGAAGAGGAAAAAGAGCGUGCCUGAUCUUGGUGGACAUGCUUGUGGGGUCGUGUUGAAAAAGACAAUGGAAAAUGAUAGUGGUUUGGACACUUACAGCAGUGCAGAAGUUACCGCACAGUGCAAUACUGUUCCCUCAUUCAAUAACGUGGUGGAAUAUUGCAGUAAAUCUUUUUCAAAAGGGAUAGAAAGGUCUGAUGUCCUUCAAAAGCCUACUAUAUGUGAAAGGCAAGAGAAACCAUGGACCAUCACUCAGUCAGCGAUGUCUGUACCAGGCAUGAAUCUUACAGCUUCAGCAGACACAACUCUGCCUUUAAGUUCCAGUAGUGUCUCCAUGGCCAUAGAGCAAAAUAAAAUUCCUCCAACUAUCAUCCUUCCUUCUACUCAUUCCCAGGGACACCUAGAUGUCAUAAAUUCUAUUACAAAUAACUCUGCACAUAAGAGAGAUCACUCACCAGUCUCUGAAGAUUGUUUUAAGCGGCUGAAAGAUGUAGACAAGCACAGCCUUAAAGACACCCUGACUCUUCCAACCUUUGAUACACAAAGAUCACAGUUUUCAUUUGCAGCGACUUUCUAGUAAAGAAUUGCCAGAUUCUUCAUCUCCAAUUCCAGCAAGUGGUAUGGUUCGUGUUGUUAAAAACUCCAUCAGACUGACUCUUAAUCGAUAGCAGUACUUUACCAGGCAUCCUAAAGUUACUAUAUCCAUACUACUGUAACAGAAAGCAACACUCAAAAAAUGAAGACAGAGACUUCAUCUAAAGAGUACAACCUAUGAUUUGCAUAUCAGCCCGUGUCAGCUCUGGCUUGGAUCUCUUGUAACAGAACUGGGAACUUCCUGAAUCACUGCUCCAAGCUGAUGUCAAGGCAAUGCUAUGUGGACCAAUAUUCGCAUUAUGCAUAGCAUCCAUCUUUGUUUAAAGUGGCUUAAUCUUCUAUAGAUUUCUCUCUUCAGGUGUUACACUGUCAUAAUUAUUGCAAAAAUUUCAAACUACUAUUCCUCCAAAAUGUGUGGGGUGUGGGUAUUUUUCUAGUGUAAAGUUUAUUCCCUUGGACUAGACCUUUAUUUUCACUGUGCAAAUGCAUAGCUUUAUUUUAAGUCUUGUAUUGUUCUUUCAGCAGAAAUGUCUUUGUUAUGAAAAACCCCCCCAAAAAAUUCUUGCCUUUAUUUUUUCCUAAAGGGAUUGGCAUGCAGAAUACUUUGCCCUGGUGUAUUUCUAUUGUUAUCAAUGUCAGUUCAGUACAGGGGUGCUGGUAGUCUGAAGCUCUCUCUUAAAUAUAUUCUUAACACUGUUGUUUUAACCCAAACACCCACGUCCAGCUUGGUGGUAUGCAACGCUGGCUGGUGAUCUGCAUAGCAGGUCCCCAUAGGGGUUCUUGUAAAGUCGAAAAAUGCACAGGAAUAUGUGUGUAUAUAUUGGAGGUUCUUUUCCUUUAAAAAACAAUCCAUUUAGGA